UACGUAGGGUGCGAGCGUUAAUCGGAAUUGCUGGGCGUAAAGCGUGCGCAGGCGGUCUCGCAAGUCCGAUGUGAAAUCCCCGGGCUCAACCUGGGAACUGCGUUGGAAACUACGAGGCUGGAGUACGGCAGAGGGGGGUGGAAUUCCACGUGUAGCAGUGAAAUGCGUAGAUAUGUGGAGGAACACCGAUGGCGAAGGCAGCCCCCUGGGCUAGUACUGACGCUCAUGCACGAAAGCGUGGGGAGCAAACAGG
rnacentral:rRNA from 1 species